UCUUUUGAGGUCACCAUUGGGCUGAGGAAGAAAUUCAUCAUGCUGUUCUUUUGAGGUCACCAUUGGACUGUGGAAGAAAUUCAUCAUGUUGUUCUUUUGAAACAUUGUAACAGCAUGAGGUUUGAACUUCAAUACAUCCACCAGACACUGAACUCUUUGGAGAGGGCGAUAAAGGAACUCAAAAACUCGAGGAACAAUGAACAAUCUGGAGACAGUAUUACAGCAGAACAUGAACAGAAUGAGCAUGAACCACAGAACUUGACCGGUUCUGGAGGAACAACUUGAAAGUCUCACCAUGAGAAAGAAAUCACCUGGCUUGGCAACUGGUCUUCUCUUUCGGAAGAUGUUUUUACCGGAAGAGAUAGUUGGGAGGAGUGCCUCUGGCACAAGAGGGAAGCUUGCCAUAGAUAAGGAGGCAUUAGUUGAGCAAAUGGAGCCACCUACCCAAAACGCCAACGUCGAGCCUGAAGGUUGCAGUGACCAAGCAACAUCACAUAAAAGAGCCAGACAAGUAACUCACGCCGCAAAUACCCUGGAAGAGGAAGAGGAAGAGGAACAGCCACGAAGCGUGCAGCCACCAUGACAACCAGAAAAAAGGGUCCACACCAGGGAACUGCACCGCAAGAGAACCGAUUAACCACGAGUGUUCUCAGUCUACAAGCAGGGACAUGUGUGUAUGUGGCCGUUCCUACCUCAUCAAACCGGACGGUGCCAUUUGUUGCUGAGGUGACGCAGAGAGAACCGUUAAAUGUGAAGUAUCUUCAUCCAAGUAAGACGAGGGGAUCCUGGCAUUUCCCUGACAAGGAAGACACAGGUGCAAUCAAUACAGAAGACAUCAUUACAGUGUUGGCGGCACUCCAAACUAGGAUAUCAGGGUCCCGUUUCUAUGCGGAGUUCAGGGACCUGCCCUGAAGACCUGUCGCGUUUCUUCUGUGUGAGUGGUCUCAUGGUUCUGUUGCCAGUGAUAUGCGUGCGUGCGUGUGUAUGUUUCCAGUUGUAAAUGUACAUAUGAGUGUGUACAUAUGAUGUGUUUAUUUCUAAUACCUAUAUUUAUUUAUUGCGUGUGGUUUCUUUCAUGGUUAUAUAUUUCUAUAUUCGUGUGUGUGUGUGUGUGGUUUGUAUAUAUUUGUAUGACAGUGCUCAUAAUAUAUAUAAAGAUAUAACUGAA
rnacentral:misc_RNA from 1 species